UGAGCAGGCUAGGGGUGCUCAACAGGGUUGGGCUGAGAUUACACCCUUGGAACCUGGCACCGGGUAAUACCGGCGGAGGGAAGCUGAUCAGAAUGAUU
rnacentral:ncRNA from 2 species